UGCGGGGUGGAGCAGUCUGGUAGCUCGUCGGGCUCAUAACCCGAAGGUCGUUGGUUCAAAUCCAGCCCCCGCGACCA
rnacentral:tRNA from 5 species